rnacentral:tRNA from 1 species
GGCUUAGUAGCUCAGUUGGUUAGAGUGCUGGCCUGUCACGCCAGAGGUCGAGGGUUCGAGCCCCUUCUAAGUCGCCA